UGCGCAGGCGGCCGUGUGUGUCAGGUGUGAAAUCCCGGGGCUUAACCCCGGAACUGCGCCUGAAACUACAUGGCUAGAGUAUUGGAGAGGGUAGCGGAAUUCACGGUGUAGCAGUGAAAUGCGUAGAUAUCGUGAGGAAUACCAGAGGCGAAGGCGGCUACCUGGACAAUUACUGACGCUCAGGCACGAAAGCGUGGGGAGCAAAAGGGAUUAGAUACCCCUGUAGUCCACGCCCUAAACGGUGCACACUAGGUCUUGGCGGAUUCGACCCCACCAGGGCCCAAGCUAACGCGUUAAGUGUGCCGCCAGAGGACUACGGCCGCAAGGCUAAA
rnacentral:rRNA from 1 species